AGCGAACGCUGGCGGCAGGCCUAACACAUGCAAGUCGAGCGCCCCGCAAGGGGAGCGGCAGACGGGAGAGUAACACGUGGGAACAUGCCCUUCAGUUCGGAACAACCAAGGGAAACUUUGGCUAAUACCGGAUACGCCCGUAAGGGGAAAGAUUUAUCGCUGAAGGAUUGGCCCGCGUCUGAUUAGCUAGUUGGUGGGGUAAUGGCCCACCAAGGCGACGAUCAGUAGCUGGUCUGAGAGGAUGAUCAGCCUCACUGGGACUGAGACACGGCCCAGACUCCUACGGGAGGCAGCAGUGGGGAAUAUUGGACAAUGGGCGCAAGCCUGAUCCAGCCAUGCCGCGUGAGUGAUGAAGGCCUUAGGGUUGUAAAGCUCUUUCGUCAGGGAAGAUAAUGACGGUACCUGAAGAAGAAGCCCCGGCUAACUCCGUGCCAGCAGCCGCCGUAACAC
rnacentral:rRNA from 1 species